CAAUUCCACCUUCACUCCUGCCCCAAAACCAUCGUCUUCAUCAUCCACUCCUUCCUCUCGGCCAAGGCCAAACCCAGCCCCGAGCCAUCCCAAGGAGACCGGAGCCCCCACGGGGUCACGCCACCCCCACCAAGGAAAAGCACCAUCCGGCUGGGAAAAACAACUCCCAGGGCGUUUGGGGGGCAGCGGUGGGGUGAAAUCCCUCUUGGAUGGCAGCACUGGGGCUUCUCCGGUCCCUUCUUCCCCUCCUUCCUCCCGCUCCGAUGCUCAGCAGAGGCUGGAGGAGGCCAGGAGGAGCCCCCCCCGGGGGGGGCGGCCACGCGGUCAUCACCCCAGUGCCUUGUGAGAUGAUAUUUUCUGUACAAAGAACCCAUUUGUAUCGAUGUUUUAUAUUUAUAUCGCCCAGUUAAAAAUGCUGACGCGGCAGCUCUCGCCCGCCUGGCUUGGACCCCCUGGAGAGUCCCCAGGUCCUGCAGCACAGGGACGUGAGUCUGUCCCCCAGACAGACAACCGGAGGGCUGGAGACCGGGGCCAGCUCCAUAGCGCUUGAGAGAUGGGAACUGCAGAUCAGCUCUACUUGCCAAAUGUUGCCAUAUUGUACCGGAUGAUAGGAACCACUUUUCUUUGUCGGAGUUGGACGGUUCGUUUUAUUUUGCUAACUCCUGGGUCACUUUAUUUCUCGGUUUAGGGGGGAGGGUUGUCAGGUGGCUGCUGGGAAACAACUUUUAUGAACCAAAAGAUUCUGCAUGAAAAUGCCUUUUUUUUUGGGUCAAAUAAACAUUGCAGAUCACAACCAGCAGGAGCC